GUCAACGUCAAGGUCAAGGCCAAGAUUAAGGCCAAGGCCAAGGUCAAGAUCAAGGCCAAGAUCACCGUUAAGAUUAAGGUCAAGGGUUAUCGCGGUGGUGCCUCAGGGAUGACGAAGUUUUGGAUGGAAAAAGAUACUUAACAUGUGGAGCAGGUAGAGGUAUCUUGGUCAGGCUUGGUGAGGUUGUCUAGUGUUGCAGAUGACAAUUACAGUAAUAUGGCUCCUGUACUCUUGGCUCCCUCUGUGAUAGAACAAGAAAAGUCAGACAGUCUCUCCACCAUCUUGAGGUGUUCAUCCACUAUUUAAACGACAUUUCGUCGGCCAAUCACAGCAACUUCAGCAAGUUACACCGUGUGUUUGUGAAUUCAGUAGAAGUUAGCAAGCUUAUCUUAAGGCACGUUGAAUUUUAAGGUUUAACGAAAGUAUGGUACUAAAGUCGAUACUGUAGAACGUUAGCGUCCAGACGUUUCUUAAUGAAAGCAUCAGGUGAAUUUUUGAGCUAAUCUUUCAAUCAUUUUACUCUCUCCUUUGUCUUUUUGUGCUUCUAGUUUCAUGCACGUAGCAUUUUGUUGAUUUUUUGAAACUACAAAAGGAAGUUGGAUACUUAGUAAACUAAUUGCAAUUUUAAAAAUCCGAGACCUCAUUACUAUAUCAGCGGCUAACCGAGAGAAAAUACGUGGAUAUAUUUUCU